rnacentral:rRNA from 1 species
GACGAACGCUGGCGGCGUGCUUAACACAUGCAAGUCGAACGGAAAGGCCCUGCUUUUGUGGGGUGCUCGAGUGGCGAACGGGUGAGUAACACGUGAGUAACCUGCCCUUGACUUUGGGAUAACUUCAGGAAACUGGGGCUAAUACCGGAUAGGAGCUCCUGCUGCAUGGUGGGGGUUGGAAAGUUUCGGCGGUUGGGGAUGGACUCGCGGCUUAUCAGCUUGUUGGUGGGGUAGUGGCUUACCAAGGCUUUGACGGGUAGCCGGCCUGAGAGGGUGACCGGCCACAUUGGGACUGAGAUACGGCCCAGACUAGUACGGGAGGCAGCAGUGGGGAAGAUUGCACAAUGGGCGGAAGCCUGAUGCAGCAACGCCGCGUGCGGGAUGACGGCCUUCGGGUUGUAAACCGCUUUCGCCUGUGACGAAGCGUGAGUGAAGGUAAUGGGUAAAGAAGCACCGGCUAACUACGUG